rnacentral:rRNA from 1 species
UACGGAGGGAGCAAGCGUUACUCGGAAUUAUUGGGCGUAAAGGGCGCGUAGGCGAUUCGAAAAGUCAACUGUGAAAUCUCCGGGCUUAACCCGGAAGGGUCGUUCGAUACUGUUGAGCUAGAGUGUGGAAGAGGCAACUAGAAUUCCGUGUGUAGCGGUGAAAUGCGUAGAUAUACGGAGGAAUACCUGAGGCGAAGGCGGGUUGCUGGGCCAACACUGACGCUGAGGCGCGAAAGCCAGGGGAGCAAACGGG